UGGGGAAUAUUGGACAAUGGGCGAAAGCCUGAUCCAGCCAUGCCGCGUGUGUGAAGAAGGUCUUCGGAUUGUAAAGCACUUUAAGUUGGGAGGAAGGGCAGUUACCUAAUACGUAUCUGUUUUGACGUUACCGACAGAAUAAGCACCGGCUAACUCUGUGCCAGCAGCCGCGGUAAUACAGAGGGUGCAAGCGUUAAUCGGAAUUACUGGGCGUAAAGCGCGCGUAGGUGGUUUGUUAAGUUGGAUGUGAAAUCCCCGGGCUCAACCUGGGAACUGCAUUCAAAACUGACAAGCUAGAGUAUGGUAGAGGGUGGUGGAAUUUCCUGUGUAGCGGUGAAAUGCGUAGAUAUAGGAAGGAACACCAGUGGCGAAGGCGACCACCUGGACUGAUACUGACACUGAGGUGCGAAAGCGUGGGGAGCAAACAGGAUUAGAUACCCGAGUAGUCCCUGAGCGGGC
rnacentral:rRNA from 1 species